AACUAAUCACCACGAUUACAUCUAUUCCUACUAAAGGCAUAUGGUAGCUACACAUAUGAAAAUAAGCAUGCAUCAUAAUAGAUCAAAGUAAGCACAAGAUUAUAUUGAUAUCACCAUCUUGUGUACAUAAGCCGUGAUGACCACAAGGCUUGGCUCUAGAACUCCACCAUAGCUUCGCCACGCAGGGACGACCAUGGCGGCUAGGGUCUAGCCUAAACCAUCUCCUAGACAACCUCGAAGACUUGCAACAGCCCUCAGCUCCCUUUGGUGUGUGUCCCUCUAUUCGUUGACUUCUGGUGGAUUGAUAUGUGUGCUCGAUGAAAUAUCAAAGUAUUUAUAGUAUGGAGAUCAUGUGGUAGAAAUUGGAAGGUGAGAGGAGCAAGGAAAGCCCCGGGCUGAUCGGCCUUGGGGGCGAGGGGUCCAGGCCGAUUGGCCUGAUCCUUCCUUAUGGCCUCUCGCGCCCUCCUUCAUCCCCAAGUCUUCUUAGGUGUCCUGAAAUCUUAUUUUUGUAUGCAUGUGGGCCUGGUACGUCGAUAGCUUCGGGAUGAGAUUGAUCUUUGAUAACUUUCUAAAUCUCUGCUUGAUCUUCUUUGAUUCCUCUUUGAUCUCGAAGUGAUACUUGCCAUAUCUUCACAAUCUUAGCCCUUAAGUAAUCUUGGAGGAGUGCUUGCCAAAAAUGAGCGUCGGACGAGGCCAGAAAACCCCUGGCCGAUCGGCUUGGGCUUCACCAGGCCGAUCAGCCUAGGCUCUUUCUGAGCCUGCUAGCCUUCAUCUUUGAUAGGUUCGUUGCUCAUUCGGGGCUUUAUCGAAAAAUAUACUUUUAGGUUCAAUUUCCUACAAAAAUAGAAUGUCCACCAAAAUACCAUGUAUAUGCAAAGACGGGGUUAUUUCAGGUGCCAAGCGGCGGGUUAGUAUAAGAAUAUGUAUGAAAACACCACUUAAAUGGCACUAAAAGUGUGUCAAUAACGAGUGUCAACAACAUUAUAUAUGAAUAUUCCUAAGAAAUUCUAUUUCUAAAAUGACACUCGAUCAUCGAUCAGUCGUAUUCGGGGUCAUUUAUGGGAAUUUUUGUUAGAAAUGGCUUCAAGUCAAGGUGAGGAAGGAAUAGAGGUGGGUGGUCCUUAUGGUCCUAUAGAAAUAUGCAAGUCAAAUUAUUAUCUCGGUAAAUUUUAUUAUCUGUGAUAAAUAGGGCAAAAGUAUGAUCAAGGGGUGGAUGUGAGGACUUGCCUUCAUUAACAAUCUUUAAUUCGUCUCCUAGGUUGACCGGGGUCUUGACUUCUUUGUCUUCUAGAUCUUCAGCUUCUUGUUAGAGCUUGAUCAGGCUAACACGUCUGCUCGUUUUCUGGACGGAUGGUCCUUCGGCUUCAAACCUUCUGGAUCCUUGACUUCCAACCGAAUUUUGAUUGUAUCCCCGGUUCACACAAACAUACAAAUAUACAAUCAAUUCUAGCAAUCAAUAUACGACUAAAGAAAAUGAGAAGGAAUGGGUGAUGGAUGCUUUGGGAAUUAUCGGAUUUCUAGGUGAUAUUCCUGGGAUAAUCGAUGGAUAUUUUAUUAAUUAUUUAGAAAUAUUUCCAAAUAAUUAAUGGAGAGGAUUACUAGAUUUCUAAGAGAGUUCUUAAGAAUUUAAGAAUGGAUUUCCUAUGAUUUGGUUGGGCGGCAUAACAGCUAGAUUUGUUGAUAUCUAGGGUUCCAAUUGGACGGUAUAUCGGCUAAAUUGGGUAGUAGAUGUAUGUGGUUUGAAUUGAGUCAGCACAACGGCUGGGUUUUGGAGUGGAUCCUUAAAUAUGAUUCUGGUGCUAGGCGGUGUGAAGGGAUUCCAAGGCUAGGAAACUUGUACGUCAAGCUUGGCUUCGACCCUACGGCGGGUGGAGCUAGCCAACUUUCCUUAUCUAGGGGUGGAACUUGAGAGCUUGGGCGACAGUUGGCCUGUCCUGGUUCUAGGGGUAGUACACAUGGCAAUAGACGCAGUCGGGCAAGAUUAGGUGGAAGCCAAAGAUCUCGUAUGACAGACACCACUUGUCCCGGUGCUAGGGGAUAGCACACAUGGCAACAGAUGGGUCCGGUACAAGAUCAGGCAAAAUGGAGGUUAGAGCUUGUUCGGCGACUCACUUCGGCCUCUAGGGCGAAGCCUGGACUAGAUGACGGAUGGAAAUAGGUUUGGAUGGCCAUAAGGUAUUUUAGGAAUUUUCCUAGGGUUUUUGAAGUGAAAUAUAUGAGAAUGUGAUUUCUGGCAUACACUAUAAAGGGUUUUUCUAUAAUGCGAGAGGAGGGUAUUUUGAAAAAGGGAUCAUAUGGAAUGAUCUAUGAAAAAUGAAGGCAUGAGUUGGCUUAGAAUAUUUUGUAGUAGUUUUGGACAAAUUUUGGGAAUUUUUGGAAGGUGGCUUUAGCAAUAUCCCAGGGGCUAACGCAUGGAAUAAUUUCCUCUGUGGGCCAGCCCGAUUUGGCGGUUGGCCCAUGCGCGCCAGGGAGGUGGGGUUGACGGUUCGGACGGUGCUGCCGUCACCCCUGGACGGGGCCCACCUGUCGGCCGAAGAGAGGAGAAAGAGGGGCCGGACGGAACGGCGCCGGGGGUAACGGCACCCCGGCUUCUUCUACCUCUCACCCAGGCCGCCAUGGGUGAAAGAGGAGGCGGCUCUGAAGCUUGGGGAAGGGGGGGUGCUCUGGGCCCCUAGGAGCCAGGCCGAGGGAACGGAAAGGAAGAGGAGGAUGCGGGCAGUCCGUUCUGGUGGCUGGACAGAAGAGAGGGAGAAGGGAAGGGGAGCGGCCAUGGGAGGCCGGAGCUUCAAGCUCUUAGAGCUCGGUUUGAGCUCGAAUUCUAGGACAGGGAGGAGGAAAAAGGGCUGUGGUGUGCCGAUCUAAGGGAUUAGGGGCGCUAUUUAUAGGUGGAUGGGAGCCGGGUGGGGUGGACGUGUGGCCGUGCUCGCGUGAGCUCGGUUCAAGGCACCGUCGGCGAAGAUAAGGACGACGGGGGGGAUUGGGAAGGGGAGGGCGACCAUGUC
rnacentral:lncRNA from 1 species